CACGUAGGCGGAUUGUUAAGUGAGGGGUGAAAUCCUGGAGCUCAACUCCAGAACUGCCUUUCAUACUGGCAAUCUAGAGUCCGGAAGAGGUAAGUGGAACUCCUAGUGUAGAGGUGGAAUUCGUAGAUAUUAGGAAGAACACCAGUGGCGAAGGCGGCUUACUGGUCCGGUACUGACGCUGAGGUGCGAAAGCGUGGGGAGCGAACA
rnacentral:rRNA from 1 species